GGGUGAGUAACACGUGGAUAACCUACCUAUAAGACUGGGAUAACUUCGGGAAACCGGAGCUAAUACCGGAUAAUAUUUUGAACCGCAUGGUUCAAAAGUGAAAGACGGUCUUGCUGUCACUUAUAGAUGGAUUCGCGCUGCAUUAGCUAGUUGGUAAGGUAACGGCUUACCAAGGCAACGAUGCAUAGCCGACCUGAGAGGGUGAUCGGCCACACCGGAACUGAGACACGGUCCAG
rnacentral:rRNA from 1 species